ACAAACGCGGCGGAACCGGUUGCGGGGAGGUUGCUUGAAUUCUCUCAGCUGCGCCCCCUGACCUAGUAGUCGCUGGCACAAGCUGCGCCCGGAGACGUGGGAGCGUUCUCUUGUUUUCCGAGUGCGCGGACUCAUCGGGUCACAGUUUAUGCUUUUAUGACGCGGGAACACAACAGAUUUGAGAAGCCUCGGAUUAAGGAAUAAUUUAUGAAGCUCCGUUGACUACCGUGGAGAGAUCAUAAUUUGGGGUUCAAGAUUCCAGUCUGUGUUUUUCCAGAGGUGCCCUGAGGAGCAGGGAAGCAUGGCUAUUGUGGAUGUAAAAGCCAUGUUCAAGGCUCUGUUAUUCUGCACCUACACAUUUCUGAUUGCCAAGUCUUCCUGAUGAGUUAUUAUAACUCUUUUAUCAUUAUGAGAAAAUUAUCUUUGAUAAUAUAGAGUAACUUGAAGUCUGUUUCAUCUGAUAUUAAUAUAGCCAUUCCAACAAUUUUUUUCUGCAAAUUAAAUGCCAAGAUUUAAAAGUUAUCUAA
rnacentral:lncRNA from 1 species